rnacentral:rRNA from 1 species
GACGAACGCUGGCGGCGUGCCUAAUGCAUGCAAGUAGAACGCUGAAGGAGGAGCUUGCUUCUCUGGAUGAGUUGCGAACGGGUGAGUAACGCGUAGGUAACCUGCCUGGUAGCGGGGGAUAACUAUUGGAAACGAUAGCUAAUACCGCAUAAGAGUAGAUGUUGCAUGACAUUUGCUUAAAAGGUGCACUUGCAUCACUACCAGAUGGACCUGCGUUGUAUUAGCUAGUUGGUGGGGUAACGGCUCACCAAGGCGACGAUACAUAGCCGACCUGAGAGGGUGAUCGGCCACACUGGGACUGAGACACGGCCCAGACUCCUACGGGAGGCAGCAGUAGGGAAUCUUCGGCAAUGGACGGAAGUCUGACCGAGCAACGCCGCGUGAGUGAAGAAGGUUUUCGGAUCGUAAAGCUCUGUUGUAAGAGAAGAACGAGUGUGAGAGUGGAAAGUUCACACUGUGACGGUAUCUGACCAGAAAGGGACGGCUAACUACGUG